GACGAACGCUGGCGGCGUGCUUAACACAUGCAAGUCGAACGGAAAGGCCCUGCUUUUGUGGGGUGCUCGAGUGGCGAACGGGUGAGUAACACGUGAGUAACCUGCCCUUGACUUUGGGAUAACUUCAGGAAACUGGGGCUAAUACCGGAUAGGAGCUCCUGCUGCAUGGUGGGGGUUGGAAAGUUUCGGCGGUUGGGGAUGGACUCGCGGCUUAUCAGCUUGUUGGUGGGGUAGUGGCUUACCAAGGCUUUGACGGGUAGCCGGCCUUAGAGGGUGACCGGCCACAUUGGGACUGAGAUACGGCCCAGACUCCUACGGGAGGCAGCAGUUGGGAAUAGUGCACGAUGGGCGGAAGCCUGAUGCAGCAACGCCGCGUGCGGGAUGACGGCCUUCGGGUUGUAAACCGCUUUCGCCUGUGACGAAGCGUGAGUGACGGUAAUGGGUAAAGAAGCACCGGCUAACUACGUG
rnacentral:rRNA from 1 species